GGCCAACAGCCAGCUAACCAUGAGUCAUCUUGUGUCCAGGCAGCCAGGGACAACAACAUCCUGGCAUGUAUCAGAAAUAGUGUAGCCAGCAGGACUAGGGCAGUGAUCAUCCCCCUGUACUUGGUGCUGACAUCAGAGCACUUGCAUGUCAUUUGGUGGUCCUACAUCUAGCUGUGCCAACCACCAGGUGCUUCAGAAGAAGUUGUUCCAGAUCACACUUUGCUAAAUUCCAUGAGUCAGCAUGGGAGUAUUUGAUGCUUAACAGCACAAUAGGCAAAGAGGGAGGCCAAGAAAAUGACAAGACAGUAAAGUUUUACACUGGAUGCUUUUCAGUUCACACAUUACCUGAUGCAGGACUAAAUGACUUCCCGAAUGAUGAUACCCUUCCUACAUAGAAGGUAGGUCUGUGUGUGAGAAUUAAAGCACGUGCAU